GUCAUCAAUGGACAGAUUAGUCUAAAGUGAGAGUAAUUAAUCAGUUUAAGAGACUUACUGCUUGAUCAGUAAAUGUUAAAGCAUAGUACAUCUGUUGUAUUGGUUCCUAAAUCUAUGUUGUGAUUCUUACUAUAUUUCAGAUAUAUGAGGCAAAAACCUUAGGUGAAGCAAGUGAAGCUGUCUUGAAGUUUCAGGAUUUUUUGAGCUUAGCAGGGUGCUUACAUAGGGUGAUUUCCAUUGAAUGUUCUAAACAGAUUGUUGAAGAAGCCACAAAUUGGUAUUUUUUCGGGCGCACAAGAGGAGUAUUUGAAAGAUUCAAACAGGGUCUUUGUACACUUGGUGUUCUGGAUGCAAUUCACAAGUUUCCCAAGGCAUUUUAUCCAGCCUUAUGCUACACAGAAAAAACACUGACAUAGUAAACAUUUUGUCCAUUUCUUGCCAUCAGUUUGGAGUAUCAAGGUAGCAAUAAGCGACAACUGCAGACAAAAAUCAUAGGAUGGUGGCGAGAUUACUUAAUAGAUGUGCAAGAUGGGGAUGGAGACAUCUCACUUGGUCAAAUUCUAGCAUUUGCUACAGGAACAGAUUAUCCACCAGCACUUGGAUGGACAACUAAGCCAUCCAUUGAAUUCAUUUAUAGUAAAGAUCUGUUCCCCACUGCAAACACGUGCCAAUAUUUUACGUCUGCCUACAGUUCAUAAUGUUUAUGAAGAUUUUAAAUACAACCUUGACUUUGCCAUUCAUAAUUCUCCAGGAUUUGGGCAGGCAUAAUAAAUUCAAAUGUGCAAUAAUCCGAUAAUGACUUCAUAGUGAGACAUACAUAACCCAUAAGUACUUCAUUGUUCCUGCACAAAAGGAGUAACUCCUAGAAAUUCAUAAGUCCAUCUUAACCUUUUCAUCAUUAAAAUCUUACAAAAAAUAGGGAUUGGGUUAACA